AGAGUUUGAUCCUGGCUCAGAUUGAACGCUGGCGGCGUGCCUAACACAUGCAAGUCGAGCGGUAACAGGUGUAGCAAUACAUGCUGACGAGCGGCGAACGGGUGAGUAAUGCUUUGGAAUCUUCCCAGUAGUGGGGAACAACCAGUCGAAAGAUUGGCUAAUACCGCAUACGUCUGUGAAGAGAAAGCGGGGGAUCGUAAGACCUCGCGCUAUUGGAUGAGCCAAAGUCGGAUUAGCUAGUUGGUGAGGUAAUGGCUCACCAAGGCGACGAUCGGUAGCUGGUCUGAGAGGAUGAUCAGCCUCACUGGGACUGAGACACGGCCCAGACUCCUACGGGAGGCAGCAGUGGGGAAUAUUGGACAAUGGGCGCAAGCCUGAUCCAGCCAUGCCGCGUGGGUGAUGAAGGCCUUAGGGUUGUAAAGCCCUUUCGGCGGGGAAGAUAAUGACGGUACCCGCAGAAGAAGCCCCGGCUAACUUCGUGCCAGCAGCCGCGGUAAUACGAAGGGGGCUAGCGUUGCUCGGAAUUACUGGGUGUAAAGGGUUCGUAGGCGGUGUGGCAAGUCGGGAGUGAAAUCUAUGGGCUUAACUCAUAGGCUGCUUCCGAAACUGCUGUGCUUGAGUGUGGGAGAGGCGCGUGGAAUUGCAGGUGUAGCGGUGAAAUGCGUAGAUAUCUGCAGGAACACCCGUGGCGAAAGCGGCGCGCUGGACCACAACUGACGCUGAGGAACGAAAGCUAGGGGAGCAAACAGGAUUAGAUACCCUGGUAGUCCUAGCCCUAAACGAUCAGGACUUGGGGUGCCACCCGUUCGGGUGUCGUCCCGGAGCUAACGCGUUAAGUCCUGCACCUGGGGAGUACGGUCGCAAGACUGAAACUCAAAGGAAUUGACGG
rnacentral:rRNA from 1 species